rnacentral:rRNA from 1 species
GACGAACGCUGGCGGCGUGCUUAACACAUGCAAGUCGAACGGAAAGGCCCUGCUUUUGUGGGGUGCUCGAGUGGCGAACGGGUGAGUAACACGUGAGUAUCCUGCCCUUGACUUUGGGAUAACUUCAGGAAACUGGGGCUAAUACCGGAUAGGAGCUCCUGCUGCAUGGUGGGGCUUGGAAAGUUUCGGUGGUUGGGGAUGGACUCGCGGCUUAUCGGCUUGUUGGUGGGGUAGUGGCUUACCAAGGCUUUGACGGGUAGCCGGCCUGAGAGGGUGAAAGGCCGCAUUGAGACUGAGAGACGGCCCAGACUCCUACGGGGAGGCAGCGGUGGGGAAUAUUGCACAAUGGGCGGAAGCCUGAUGCAGCAACGCCGCGUGCGGGAUGACGGCCUUCGGGUUGUAAACCGCUUUCGCCUGUGACGAAGCGUGAGUGACGGUAAUGAGUAAAGAAGCACCGGCUAACUACGUG